AAGAACAAGCCACCCACUCCUAUUGAGGCCUUGCCCAGUGAAUUUUCAUCAUCUGUUCAACAGGCCAAACCUGCUAAACCCCGUCGACACAUUCCUCAGGUUGGUGUACUUUCAUGGUCUAGUAUUUCAAGAACAAGCCACCCACUCCUGUUGAGGCCUUUCCCAGUGAAUUCUCAUCAUCUGUUCAACAGGCCAAACCUGCUAAACCCCGUCGACACAUUCCUCAGGUUGGUGUACUUUCAUGGUCUAGUAAUGUUUGUGCUAUCACAUUUCAUGAAUCAUCAUGCCAAUUGUGUUUUACAAGAUUUUAGAAUUAUAUGUGACGGAGGAUCCAUUGGUUUAUUUUGCA
rnacentral:lncRNA from 1 species